UACGUAGGUGGCAAGCGUUGUCCGGAAUUAUUGGGCGUAAAGCGCGCGCAGGUGGUUCCUUAAGUCUGAUGUGAAAGCCCACGGCUCAACCGUGGAGGGUCAUUGGAAACUGGGGGAACUUGAGUGCAGAAGAGGAAAGUGGAAUUCCAAGUGUAGCGGUGAAAUGCGUAGAGAUUUGGAGGAACACCAGUGGCGAAGGCGACUUUCUGGUCUGUAACUGACACUGAGGCGCGAAAGCGUGGGGAGCAAACAGG
rnacentral:rRNA from 1 species